UACGGGGGGGGCAAGCGUUGUUCGGAAUUACUGGGCGUAAAGGGUUCGUAGGUGGCUUGCUAAGUCAGACGUGAAAUCCCUCAGCUUAACUGGGGAACUGCGUCUGAUACUGGCGAGCUUGAGUGCAGGAGAGGAACGCAGAAUUCCAGGUGUAGCGGUGAAAUGCGCAGAUAUCAGGAGGAACACCAGUGGCGAAGGCGCCGCUCUGGGCCGAGACUGACGCUGAGGAGCGAAAGCGUGGGUAGCAAACAGG
rnacentral:rRNA from 1 species